rnacentral:rRNA from 1 species
AACGAACGCUGGCGGCAUGCCUAACACAUGCAAGUCGAACGAGACCCCUGACUUCGGUUGGCGGGUCUAGUGGCGCACGGGUGCGUAACGCGUGGGAAUCUGCCCUUGGGUUCGGAAUAAACUCAGAGAAAUUUGAGCUAAUACCGGAUGAUGACGAAAGUCCAAAGAUUUAUCGCCCAGGGAUGAGCCCGCGUAAGAUUAGCUUGUUGGUGGGGUAAUGGCCUACCAAGGCGACGAUCUUUAGCUGGUCUGAGAGGAUGAUCAGCCACACUGGGACUGAGACACGGCCCAGACUCCUACGGGAGGCAGCAGUGGGGAAUAUUGGACAAUGGGCGCAAGCCUGAUCCAGCAAUGCCGCGUGAGUGAUGAAGGCCUUAGGGUUGUAAAGCUCUUUUACCAGGGAUGAUAAUGACAGUACCUGGAGAAUAAGCUCCGGCUAACUCCGUG